GCACUUGCAGUUACGACUCAAUACUUCAUCUUUAUGUUUGUUUACACUUCUCUCCAAUGCACCUGGUGCCGGAUUCUGGAUCAGUCCUCUUUUAGCGUUCUCUUAUCUGCAGUUCUAAAGUUGGAAAAACUGUCACAUCUGUUUGGUGAACUUCAGCAAUUGAAGAGAAAUGAAGGUUGAUUUUCAAAUGACCAUUAAGAGGC